rnacentral:tRNA from 1 species
GAGGGUGUAGCUCAGUGGCAGAGCGCAUGCUUAGCAUGCACGAGGCCGUGGGUUCUAUCCCCAGUACCUCA